GCAAGAGGAGGCAGAACGGUCGGCGGCUGGAGGCUGUGGGAGUUGGAGUUGAUAGAGAGCGUUUCCCAGUGCUUCAUGUGGCAGAUGCCACAUUUGCAGAUCCAGAGAGGUGAUGUGAGGCACUGGCGCAGGUGAAGCCUGAGCAGAACCCCAAAGUUGGAACUUCGGCUUAUUUACGCUCUAUCAGUUUAUGCCUCACGUAUUUUGAUGCUCCAUUGUUGGGUGCCCACACAACAAGGAAUUAUCCUGUUUUCUUGGAGUAAAGACCCUAUGAUCACUUGGACUAAUGAGGGACAUAAAAGGCAGCCACUGGUGCAGCCAGCCCAGGCCUGAAGCACCAGCGGAGAGAAGGGCUCGUCAGUAGAAUGUCCAGUCAUUGGAGCCGAGAGGAGGAAUGGGGAGGCUGCCACUGGGCUCUAAGCACUGCAGCAACUUCAGGGUGAGAACUGAGGCCAAGGGCUAUCGUAAACUCCUGGUGGGCUACAACACAGCCAUGUCCGUCUGAGUGCUGGGAUCACCAUCGCUGCCUACCUGCCCUUCAAGGUCCUUGUGGAUGUUGCUCAUUUCUCCUGCAAAGCCUACCUGUCUGGAGCUAAUUGAUAGAGGCAGCACAGAGAGACUGGUGCCAUCAGAGGAAGAUGGUCAUCGCCUUGGUUUCCAAGAGAAGGGGCCGGCCACACCAUACGGUGCAGGGCCACAGAGGGGAAGCACCAUUGCCACAGGGAGCUGGAGCCUAACUCAGAGAAGACACAUCAGCAUGGUCCCAGGGGGAAGUGAGUGCUGUCCGGCCCAGAUAGAAGUCAUUGAGACCUUCCACCUAAAGUUCUUCAUCAGCUGCUGGCUGCAGUUCAAGCUAGCCAUCUCCGACUUUCCAGGAUGUGAGGUUUUUGCCACCAAACCAGGCUUUGACACUGCUCUGGGUAGAUUUACAAGUAUUUUGAGUGUGAAAAUGGACUUGCAGAGAGUCUGCCAUGUGGACGUGUUGGGUCUGCUGCACAUUCAGCUCACAGCGGCCAUCUGUCUGGAUGAGCAGGGGUUGUUAAGAGCCCAGCCCAAGGUUUAAUUAACACCAGGGCCCUGGCCUCUGUAGCUCCAAAUGGCCGCGAGGAGGGGCUGGCAUCCUGAGCUGGGUCAUGGCCUCAGCAACCAUCUACACUGAGCAGAAAGGAGUUCAGAGGGGAAAUCCCUGGAUCAGAGUCCUCUUCUGCUGUUUCUGCCAUUCUGCCUGUGAGUGUUGAAGCUGUUCCGUCUAAGCCUCCUCCCCCCUGAAAUGGGGAUGAUGGGCCUCCUGCCUGCACGCAGCAAGUGAAAAGUGGCCAGUGUCGGUGCCGCUGUAUCACGCCAACACCUUGUGCAGGAAACAGCCGGAACACGGACUGAUGAAUGUACAAGCUUGCAAGAGGCCAGGCUGGUCCUGAGAUGCAGAGCUGGCUCUGGCAUCAUGCUUUGUCCUGCCCUAGGAGUGCCACUCAGAGGAGGAUCUGGUGAUUAGAUGAUUCUAGGACACUGAGGAAGACUGCUGGUCACAGAGAGGGUGUCCUGGCUGGGCCAGGGUCCCUGGAUGUAUCGGAAUUCUCAAGCUAUAAGAAUAAUAAUAGCAGUGCAUGGCUGAGAGAGGGGACAAGGUGGAAUGCCUUGGGGAAUUAGGGAAGCACCUCUCUUGGUCAACAUGCACGGGCUGAUGGACAAGCAUCUGAAGUACAUGAGCACGAGGAAGGCAGCUCUGGUGGGCACAGCCUCCCUCCCCAGCAGUCACUUCUCCAGAGCACAGGUCAGGGCUGAGGUGCCCUUCAGCUCCAGUCUCUAUGCCAGCUAGACCUUUUGUGCAACCACUAGACCAGCUCUGAGGUCAAGGUCUUCAGUGACCUGGAGGUUCUGGAGAACUUGGAGGUGAAAUGCAGGUCCCAUGUCAUGCAGGCCUUUGAGAGGAGACUCCUUUGGGCUGCCCAACUUCAUCACAUAUGAAGUUAGUGUGUCAGACCCUGAAGCUGGCAGAAGAGACAUUGGACAGGUUCUGCACCUUGGUCUCAACCCCCACAGCAUAAAGGAAUGGUUGACUGAAUGAGUGCUGGAGUUGCUCUGGAGAUCCCAGCGUCAGGGGUUCCUGACUGUAUGCUGUUCAGCUGU